ACAAACAGUUUUCAGAAGUUCUUAAGGCAAGAGUGACUUUCUGUGGAUUUUACUGGUCCCAGCUUUAGGUUCUUUACGACACUAACAGGACUGCAUAGAGGCUUUUUCAGCAUUGCUGUAUUGUCUCCGGCCAUGUGUGGCAAGAUCAUCAUUAGAAAUGGAAAUGACAUUUGAAAGCCAUUAGACUUCUAGGUGAUGCAUCUAAGAAAGAUUAAUCACACAAUAGAGGCAUAUGCGCUGUCAUUUUUUUCUUUUUUUAAUUGUUAAAUUGAAUUUUAUACCAAUGUUUAAACUUAAUUGGGUGUUAGCUUGAGGUGUUUUGGGGGAGUUUGUUGUAAUGGUUUUGUUGUAAAAUGUGUUUGGAACUCUGCUGAAGUGUUGCUGAAAAUCAUGGUGCUGGUAACAGACCGGAAGAGCAUCGUGU